rnacentral:lncRNA from 10 species
UCCUAAUUGAUAAAAGAAAGGAACCACUGAGGAUGUAGUCCUCUUAGGAAGCAAUGUUUCCAUCUCCUUCUACCUGAUCGGUCAGAUCUGUAUUACAGACCAUGCCUAGUUGAAAGGGAUUCUGGGAAAUGUAGUUCUUUUAAGUCGGAUAUAAUUUCACCAUCACCACUAGCAUCCCACUGCCCCCAAACAACAAUAAUUAGUGCUAUUGCUAAGGAAAAGGAAGAAAUCGGAUAUAAGGGAGACGACAGUAUAUGCCAUCCCUUCAUUUUGGUAUUGUCAUUUUCUUCUGCUACAUGCCAUCACUUGACACAAUUUGUAAUGGUAUAUUCAUUUAUUUACUUGUAAGUUUUUUUCUUUAUUGUCUAUAUAUUGCCCUUUGUCCCCAUAGGAUCUAUGUCUGUUUUACCCACCAAUGUCUACACACCACCUAGCAUCCUGCUUGGUGUCUAGAAGAAAUUUGACAGAUACUGGUUCAUUGACAAUGAAGUGAAUAAUAUUGCCCAGGAGGAGAAGUAGUUUCAUUCUUGGAUGGGAGACUCCCAGAUUGCUGUUUUCCACCUGAGGUGUGAGUCAUCUCAACAGGAAACCUAUCCCAUUCACUCCUACAGGAAAAGAGAGAGACUCAAGAACCAUGAAAGGCUCUUUACUGCUCCAUUGAGGAAGAACACAUUUUAUUGUUAUUUGCAUGGACAGAAAAGGCAUAUGUCUCUAACUACAAAGCAGCACAGGGAUGUAAUCUCUGCACGUGCCCAGAAGAAAAGGAGAAAUGGAUACGGGUGGGCAUCAGACCCGUUCUUCCUCUGCUUUAUCACAUUGGUCUUCUUUCUAUUCUUGGAACUCUCCAAGCUUAUUUCUAUUUUAGAAUCUCUAUACUAGCUCUUCUAUAGUGCAAAUAAGUCAAAACAUUCCAUGAACAGAGCAAAACCAGAGCAAGUGCUCCAAUCCUGGAAGAAUGCUCUGACUUAUGUUUCUCACACUGGAAUUCCUUACACACUAUUUCAGGCAGGAGAACAUCUAGACUCUACCUGAAUUACCCCUGGGAAGCGGGGAGCUCAUCACUUUGCAUUAUGAGCAGCAUAACUGCAUUUAUUGAGGAUGAGUAUUUAUUGAGUAUGCAGUGAUUUAAGAUCAUUGUAAUAUAAUGGUCUUAAACCAGUGCACACUCAAUAAAUACUUGAGUAUUCCAUUGUAACAUAAUUUUAUCUUCAUAACAUCAUUGUAUUAUGAAUACUACUGUUACUACUUAGAAAAUAAAGAACCAAGACCAGGCACAGUGGCUUACGUCUGUAGUCCCAGCUACUCGAGAGGCUGGGGCGUGAGUAUCGCUUGAACCCAGUAGCCAGAGGUUGCAGUGAACCGAGAUCACGCCACUGCACUCCAGCCUGGGUGAUAGUAUGAGACUCUGUCUCCAAAUAAAAUAAAGAAACAAUGACUCAGAUAAAUUUAAUAAUUUUACCUAGGUCACACAGUUGGUGAUUCAAAUCUCAAAAUUAAGUUUUUAACUAAAAUUAUCUAAUAUUUUUGAGAAGGUGACCGAUUCAGUUUUUGGAAAUCUCUAGCUGUUAGAAGGAUAUUUCUUCCUUUAUUUAGUCAAAUUAUGCCUCCCUAUAACUUUCCAUCGUCAUUUUUUUUCUGUUAAUCAGAGCCACUCAUAACAUGUAUUCUUCUCUAUGAAAGCUGCUACAAAAUUUGAAGAUAAUAUUUAAUAAUGUGAUAUUAUUUCUAGACUACUCUUUAUUUUUGAUGUAGACAGGCUUGUUAACAUCCCUUUUAAAAUGCGAUACAAGAUUGGCAAUGGAUUUUUGCAAUAUGACCCCACCAGGACAGUGUCUAAUGAGUACUUUAUUAUUACUGACUUAUAUAUAUCACAUUCCAGUUUUGAAGCCUGCUUCCUUUAGCUUAGUUGGUAACUGAGCCUUUCUAAUAAGUUCUAGUUGAGUUUCAUCUAAAACCCUAUAGAUUAUGAAAAACAAUCAGUUCUUGCAUAAUUUUUUACUUUCUUUGCUAAAAACAGUCCUACACAUUUAUUCCUAUUGAAUACAAAGAAGGAAAAAAAAACAGAGCAGAGCUUUAUCUAACUACCUUCACAGUUAGGAAGGGCCCAACCUCAUGCUACAAACACUAACAACUAUUUGUCAGAAUAAAUUCCAUUAUGAUCAAGUGAAAGAAUAUAGUUCUAUUCAGCUCAGAAGCACACUGAAUUGGCAUGGCUGUGAAGACCCAGAGAAGAAUUUGUUGAGAGAAGUCCACAAUGGCUUCCAUAAAUGAUAAAUCUAGACCUGCAUUUCUAAACAUCAACACCUAGCCCAAGACAGAAACAGCCUUCAUAAGUGAAAUGGAUCUCAUCCAAAAUAACGUCUUUAAGAAGUUAAAUAUUAUUCUUAGUUACAUCCAAGAAGAUGCUGUGCUAUUAAAAUAAGACAGGAUGAUAAGAAACAAGAGGGAGUGAGAAUAGGGUGUUUUGGGAACAAAAAAAAUGUUAGUUUUUGGAUUAAAAUAUCAAGAAAGCCAAUGAAUCAUAUUCUUGUACAGUUUAUAGCUAAAAGAAAAAUAUAAUAGUUUAUUUAAUUCUAGCUAGAAAUUUUGAGGGGAAAAUAAGAUAUAGUAAGAUGAAGGAUAGAUCCAGGAGACCAAGCAUUUAUACAAUUUGCAGAAGGUGGAAGCAACUGCAAAGAUCAGCAAGCGUUUUCUAUAAAGGUCCUGACAGUAAAUAUUUUAGGGCUCCUCAAGCCAUAUGACCUCUGUCAUGACUACUCAAGUCUGACCUUGUAGUGUAAAAGCAUCAAUGAAUGAGUAUGGCUAUGUUCCAAUAAAACUUUAUUUACAAAAUUGGCUGUAGCUUGUUGACCCCUGAAUGUCAGGAAAGAGGAAAUAAUAAUCAAAAGCAACUUGUCAUUAUGCUUCUACUCGGGAGGCUGAGGCAGGAGAAUGGCGUGAACCUGGG